CAUUAAUAUUGUGGGAGAUUUUGGCUAAACUCGAAAACACGCUUAAAUAACAGCCUACUGCUUAAAAUUUUGCAAAAAUUAAUUAUUUUAAUUUAUUGUAGUCUGUGUCAUCCUAUCUACUCGAUAAAUAAACUCUUCUACGGGAAUAUCCUUGUCACUGCCGGAAUAGAUCAGACGCCAAUUCCUUAUAAUAUUUACCGUCUUCUCGGAAUUUUCCGUCUGCACUGUAUUGCCUAAUUCAUCUGAAAUAAUCGUUGUGAUCUCCGACCGGAAUUCAUUCAAGGACGAUGUCACAAUAUUUCUUACUUGCUGUUCUCCUACAUUGAGCGAUUCCCGUCUAUUAUUGCUUCUACUUAGACUUCGGCUCUGUCUCUCAUUCCGCCUGGUUUGUGACCUGGUACUAACGCCAGCCCUCUCUGUAACCUGAUCACCAAUCAAUUCUACACCAUCAGGAAAUACAAAGUUACCUACCCCUGCCAAAUCCUCGU